CGUGUCCUCCUCCCACGGAGCUGGGCUCGUCCGUCCGCCCGCAGACAUGAGGGAUCCACGGGUCGAUGUGGCGCUGAUGUUCGGUCUGUUCCUGGAGUGUGUCGAUGCUAAGAAGUACUGCUGGUAUUUCGAGGGUGGAUACCCCAUCUACUUUAUAUGUCGUUCCUAUGAG